GGAUGUGAGGGUGAUCUGGCUGUGGCACCUGUCACCCCAUUGAUUGCCAGGGUUGAUUUGGCUGACCUGGCUGACUAGGCAUGUGUCCCCUUCCUCCCUCGCCGCUCCAUGUGCGUCCCUCCUGAAGCUGUGCGCUUGGUUUAAGAGGACAACUAUCGCAGAUAGAGGAGGACUGGUCUCCGGUCAAGGGUAUAAGAGUAGCUCCACUCCCCCGCUAGAACCU
rnacentral:sRNA from 1 species